GUCCAUGUUAUUCAGUGGUUAGAGCAUCAGCCUUAGAACUAAAGGACCAUGGGUUCAAUUCCCAAUCAAGGACA
rnacentral:tRNA from 1 species